AAUAUUUUUUAUUUUUUUGCAAAUUCACAGAUUUUUGUGAAUUUAUAGAAGUAAAUCCAUAUCCAAUCUACCGAUUGCGGAUUUUCAAAUUUUCAAUCCAAUCUAAUCUACCAAUUCACGGAUCGAAUUUCUACGUAUCAGAUGGAUUGAGCAGAUUGGAUUGGAUUAUGAACACUCCUACUAGAAAUCACAAUCAUUUCUAUUAUCAAUUGGAAAUGCUAGAUCAAUUAUUAUUGACUUGAAAAAUAACUAGAGUUUUGAACACAAGUUUAAGAACACGUUCUGACGGCAUAACAUAUAAUACCACGUCAAAUUAUUUAAGAUUUUCCAAAUUGCAGUUGACAAGAAACAAAUCAUCAAUCAAUUUUGGAUAUAAAAUUUUACUGGUUAAUUUUAUGGCGAAGAGAAUUAUAAUUAAAUAAAAUUUAUGAGAUUUUUUUUGAAGAAAAAAAAUUAUGAGAUUAUUCUUUAGUUUUGAUCCCUUUUUCUGGAAGUGUUACUUAGUUUUGAGAAAUUUACUAGAUUAUUCCCAUUUUUCAUUUUUAUUUUUCUAUCAAAAUGGUAAUUUUAUUAGCUAAAAAUUUGUAAAAAAAAAUAAAGUUAAUGAAAGAUAACUCCAUUUAAGAGAGAAAAAAAGUUGAGGUUAAAUAUCACUAUUAAAAAAAAAAUUCCAAAAAAAAAACUUAGCUGCUAAUGACUCUCUUCCUCAAUGGCGUUUAUCACUCGACCACUUGUCAAGCGUUUCAAUAAAAAAUUUUACAUCUUACUCUUUUUCUAUCUUGCUGCUAAUGUAUUUUCUUCUUCCUCAAUCUGCUGAUUCAAUGUAUUAUCUUUUUCCUACCUUUGUUAUUCUUAAUUUUUUCCCUUAAGCUCCGGCUUUCAUUCCCGUUCAAACUUAUCAACUUGUGCCACCUUUCCUUCAUUUAGUUUCCUCCAAUAACUUAAAUCAGAAAAAUGUUUUAUUAGCAUUAUAUUUUGUAAAACUGCACAUUACAGAAUAAACAUUUUACGUUUGGGGUUUAGCUGUUAUAUUCAGAAAACGCAGACGAAAUAUAUGGUGCAUAUAAUUUAAUUGUGUUCGCAAAUCAACUGUUUUGUCAUGCCAUUUAUGUUUUCAAGUCUUAAAAAUCAAUGAAUUAACUGCUACAACCUUAGAAGUUAAAUCAGUACGAUCAACAUGACCACGCUCGAAAAUGUGAGCAUUGUCGAUGAUUGUUGUCACCGUUAUUAUUAUCGAUUGUUUUAUAUUUUCUUUAAUUGUCAUAAUUAUGUGGGUAUUAACCACUAUGUGGUAUAAUAAAAAUAUGG
rnacentral:lncRNA from 1 species